GACGAACGCUGGCGGCGUGCUUAACACAUGCAAGUCGAACGCUGAAGCUUGGUGCUUGCACUGGGUGGAUGAGUGGCGAACGGGUGAGUAAUACGUGAGUAACCUGCCCUUGACUCUGGGAUAAGCCUGGGAAACUGGGUCUAAUACUGGAUACGACAUGUCACCGCAUGGUGGUGUGUGGAAAGGGUUUUACUGGUUUUGGAUGGGCUCACGGCUUAUCAGCUUGUUGGUGGGGUAAUGGCUCACCAAGGCGACGACGGGUAGCCGGCCUGAGAGGGUGACCGGCCACACUGGGACUGAGACACGGCCCAGACUCCUACGGGAGGCAGCAGUGGGGAAUAUUGCACAAUGGGCGGAAGCCUGAUGCAGCGACGCCGCGUGAGGGAUGACGGCCUUCGGGUUGUAAACCUCUUUCAGCACGGAAGAAGCGAAAGUGACGGUACGUGCAGAAGAAGCGCCGGCUAACUACGUG
rnacentral:rRNA from 1 species